rnacentral:rRNA from 1 species
AUGCACGCUGGCGGCGUGCCUCAUCCAUGCCAGUCGCGCGAACAGACGAGGAGCUUACUCCUCUGACGUUAGCGGCGGACGGGUGAGUAACACGUGGAUAACCUACCUAUAAGACUGGGAUAACUUCGGGAAACCGGAGCUAAUACCGGAUAACAUGUUGAACCGCAUGGUUCAACAGUGAAAGACGGUCUUGCUGUCACUUAUAGAUGGAUCCGCGUCGCAUUAGCUAGUUGGUAAGGUAACGGCUUACCAAGGCAACGAUGCGUAGCCGACCUGAGAGGGUGAUCGGCCACACUGGAACUGAGACACGGUCCAGACUCCUACGGGAGGCAGCAGUAGGGAAUCUUCCGCAAUGGGCGAAAGCCUGACGGAGCAACGCCGCGUGAGUGAAGAAGGUCUUCGGAUCGUAAAACUCUGUUAUUAGGGAAGAACAAAUGUGUAAGUAACUAUGCACGUCUUGACGGUACCUAAUCAGAAAGCCACGGCUAACUACGUG